rnacentral:rRNA from 1 species
GAUUCUGGCUCAGGAUGAACGCUGGCGGCGUGCUUAACACAUGCAAGUCGAACGUGAUCCAGCAGCAAUGUUGGUGAAAGUGGCAAACGGGUGAGUAACACGUAGAUGACCUACCUCGGAGUGGGGGAUAACCACGGGAAACUGUGGCUAAUACCGCAUAGUUUGUCUGGUGUGGGAAUGCUGGACAAUAAAGCUUUAGUGCUACGAGAGGGGUCUGCGUCCGAUUAGCUAGUUGGUGAGGUAACGGCUCACCAAGGCUGUGAUCGGUAGCUGGUCUGAGAGGACGAUCAGCCACACGGGAACUGCGACACGGUCCCGACUCCUACGGGGGGCAGCAGUGAGGAAUAUUGGGCAAUGGGCGCAAGCCUGACCCAGCAACGCCGCGUGGAGGACGAAGGCCUUCGGGUUGUAAACUCCUUUUCGGGGGGAAAAGGAAGGAUGGUACCCCCAGAAUAAGUCACGGCUAACUACGUGCCAGCAGCCGC